AGAGUCUAGAAGAUGCGGCGCGAGUCAAUUGUUUGGGAUCAGACGUUGGUCGAGUUCCAGUAUGGAAACCUCGUGGAGAGCACUUCAGUCCUGCCUUUUCUGUGGAGCGACACACGGCCCCAACCGCUGGUGUGAUUACCUGAUCAGCCAUCUCAUUCAGGGUGCUAUCGCUUACAACAUAUUUCAGGGUCAUAACAACCACUUCAUCAGAGACGGAGCUUGGACUGAACCUCAACAUGUAUAUAUGUUUAGAUUGAGGGAAGAUAUAGUUGUGCUCCGCACUGCUGGUGUAGAGUAACAAAACCCCCUCUUGUACCGUACUCGGGCCAGUCCUCUGGCACGAUUCAUUACUGGACUCCAGGUGGUGCUAUCCUGAGUGCACAUAACGCAGUGUGAAUAUGUCCAAGA